UACGUAGGCAGCGAGCGUUGUUCGGAAUUACUGGGCGUAGAGCGUGUGUCGGCGGUGCUCCCAGUCUGUUGUGAGAUCUCCCGGCUUAACUGGGAGGGUGCAGCGGAAACUAGAGUGCUAGAGGGUGGGAGAGGUAAGCGGAAUUCCUGGUGUAGCGGUGAAAUGCGUAGAUAUCAGGAGGAACACCUGUGGUGUAGACAGCUUACUGGACCACUUCUGACGCUGAGACACGAAAGCGUGGGUAGCAAACAGG
rnacentral:rRNA from 1 species